GACGUAGGGCGCGAGCGUUGUCCGGAUUUAUUGGGCGUAAAGAGCUCGUAGGCGGUUUGUCGCGUCGUCUGUGAAAACCCACGGCUCAACUGUGGGCUUGCAGUCGAUACGGGCAGGCUAGAGUUCGGCAGGGGAGACUGGAAUUCCUGGUGUAGCGGUGAAAUGCGCAGAUAUCAGGAGGAACACCGGUGGCGAAGGCGGGUCUCUGGGCCGAUACUGACGCUGAGGAGCGAAAGCGUGGGGAGCGAACAGG
rnacentral:rRNA from 1 species